UACAGAGGGUGCAAGCGUUAAUCGGAUUUACUGGGCGUAAAGCGUGAGUAGGUGGCUCGCUAAGUCGAUUGUGAAAGCCCUGGGCUCAACCUGGGAAUUGCAGUCGGAUACUGGAGAGCUAGAGUUCGGUAGAGGGUGGACGGAAUUCCCGGUGUAGCGGUGAAAUGCGUAGAUAUCGGGAGGAACAUCGAUGGCGAAGGCAACUCACCUGGGCCUGAACUGACACUGAGACACGGAAAGCGUGGGUAGCAAACAGG
rnacentral:rRNA from 1 species